rnacentral:rRNA from 1 species
AUACGGAGGAUCCAAGCGUUAUCCGGAUUUAUUGGGUUUAAAGGGUGCGCAGGCGGCCUUAUAAGUCAGUGGUGAAAUCUCCCGGCUCAACCGGGAAACUGCCAUUGAUACUGUAAGGCUAGAAUACAGACGAGGUAGGCGGAAUGUAGCAUGUAGCGGUGAAAUGCUUAGAUAUGCUACAGAACACCGAUCGCGAAGGCAGCUUACCAGACUGUAAUUGACGCUAAGGCACGAAAGCGUGGGGAGCGAACAGGAUUAGAAACCCGAGUAGUCC